GACGUAGGGCGCGAGCGUUGUCCGGAUUUAUUGGCGUAAAGAGCUCGUAGGCGGCUUGUCGCGUCGUCCGUGAAAAACCCGGGGCUCCAACUCCCGGCUGCGGGCGAUACGGGCAGGCUAGAGUUCGGUAGGGGAGACUGGAAUUCCUGGUGGUAGCGGUGAAAUGCGCAGAUAUCAGGAGGAACACCUGCGGUGUAGACGGCUACUGGACGGUAACUGACG
rnacentral:rRNA from 1 species